rnacentral:rRNA from 1 species
UACAGAGGGUGCGAGCGUUAAUCGGAAUUACUGGGCGUAAAGCGCGCGUAGGCGGCUUUGCAAGUCGGGUGUGAAAUCCCCAGGCUUAACCUGGGAACUGCAUUCGAGACUGCAUUGCUAGAGUAUGGGAGAGGGAAGUGGAAUUUCCGGUGUAGCGGUGAAAUGCGUAGAUAUCUGGAGGAACACCGGUGGCGAAGGCGGCAUCCUGGACCGACACUGACACUGAGGAGCGAAAGCCAGGGGAGCAAACGGG